GGCUGAAAUUCGCCUUCAUGAAGCCGGAAUUGCUAGUAAUGGCAGGUCAGCAUACUGCCGUGAAUACGUUCCCGGGCCUUGUACACACCGCCCGUCACACCAUGAGAGUUGGGAAUACCCGAAGCCUGUGAGCUAACGUAAGGGGCAGCAGUCGAAGGUAGAAUCAAUGAUUGGGGUGAAGUCGUAACAAGGUAAC
rnacentral:rRNA from 1 species